UCCAUGUCUGAAAUGUGCUGUAAAUUUAGUUUGAUUUGAUUAGUGUAGUGGCAAGAGGGAUUUAGUCAUUAAAUUGUUUGCUAUCCAUUUUCCUUUCUUUCUGUGCCACCAAAUGUUUGCAUUUAGGCUACUGAUAAUGUUACCAGGACCACGUUCAGUUGCAAAACGUUCUCGAACGUUGCAGAUAGAAAUUCCAUGAAUGGAGCCAACAUUAUUCCUUAUUCAACAUGUCAGAGAGGCAUGUUUGUUCUAUAUACACAUUUCUAUUGGAACGUUCCAAAACGUGACGUCCUGCUGAAAGCACCGCAGGUUGUUAGUUGUAGCUAGCUAAUGAGGUAACAUAACUGAACAAGGUGUAGCCUAUUCUUUGAAUCAGCUGUGUACUGCUAGGGAAAAAAACAAAAUGUGCCCCUUGGGAGGGAGGGCCCUGAGGGUUAGGAUAACUACCAGUAGAGUUAAUUUAACACAUUUAUUUUAACACUGUGAUUUCAACUAUCCUUGAUUUGCAGGUUGAAAGGGAGACACAAAAGGUGAACUGCUAUAAAAAAAAAAUAGUAUAGAAAAGUAUUUUGUAUUUUGAAAAUGCAAAUUUCAGCUCUCGAAAGUAUCUUGUUACAAAAUACAUUGGGAUUGUAGUUCAGCCCAAUGUAAUUCAAAAAUGACAAAAUACUCAGAAGUAAUUGAAAUACACAUUUAAAAUACAUGUAACAGGAAUACUCGCCAUCUCUGCAUGCAGCAGACAACCCUGGUGAAGUGGCCAAGAAGAUCCCCCAUUUCUUUGAGCUGCCACUGGACGACCAUCUUACCACGACCAGGGAUCUGACCGUGCUGGUGUCUCAGAUGAAUGACAAGCAAAUGGACAAGACAGAGCUGGGCUAACUCCGAGCCAUCAUCCUCUUCAACCCAGAGAGAGGAAGUAGUCAGCCCUCAAGCCCAUGCCAAAUGUGGGGCCAGACUCAGCAUCGGGGUCAAAUUCAGACCCACAAUAACUAUGACUUCAACUGCUGCUGCCACUGUUUUACAGUAAGUAGGUUAGUAAACCUUGUACAAGUA